AAAUAUCUUACAUAAUGUUCUUUUAUUCCAUAAGGAAUCCAAGUGAAUUAUACUAGUAAUGAUGAUUUUGGAUCACGUUCCCCACAGAAAUUUUCAUAGAUUAACUCUUCAUCUUAGUAUUAAUCAUUUCUUUCAGAGAAAGAGCAUGUGAUUUUCCAAUUUUUAUUUAUUAGCACUGGCUGUUUGGUUUGAAAUUUUCUUCAUUACUACAUUAAUUUUAACAAAGUUGUCUUUAAUUUUUGUU
rnacentral:lncRNA from 1 species